UUAACUAUUGAUAUAGUACUCUGACGACAUUAAUACAAGAGUUUGGGUCCUCUGCCGGGCGCUGGCCAGCCGAAGCCGGCGGUCCUAGGACGGGCCCAGCAAAGCAACAAAGGUAUGAUAAACAAAGGGUGGGAGAUCUACCCGUAAGGGCAAGUUCUCAUUAAUGAUCCCUCCGCAGGUUCACCUACGGAGA
rnacentral:misc_RNA from 1 species